rnacentral:rRNA from 1 species
UACGGGGGGAGCAAGCGUCGUUCGGAUUUACUGGGCGUAAAGGGCGCGUAGGCGGCAGGCCAAGCGUGCGGUGAAAGUCCGGGGCUCAACCCCGGAUCUGCCGUGCGGACUGGUUUGCUAGAGCACUGUAGAGGCGAGUGGAAUUCCGGGUGUAGCGGUGGAAUGCGUAGAGAUCCGGAAGAACACCGGUGGCGAAGGCGGCUCGCUGGGCAGUGGCUGACGCUGAGGCGCGACAGCGUGGGGAGCAAACAGG